GAUGAACGCUAGCUACAGGCUUAACACAUGCAAGUCGCGGGGCAGCAUGGGGGUUGCUUGCACUCCCCGAUGGCGACCGGCGCACGGGUGAGUAACGCGUAUCCAACCUGCCCUUCACCACGGGAUAACCCGGCGAAAGUCGGACUAAUACCGUAUGUUGUCCAUUGACGGCAUCCGAUUUGGACGAAAGGUUUGGCGGUGAGGGAUGGGGAUGCGUCCGAUUAGCUGGACGGCGGGGUGACGGCCCACCGUGGCGACGAUCGGUAGGGGUUCUGAGAGGAAGGUCCCCCACACUGGAACUGAGACACGGUCCAGACUCCUACGGGAGGCAGCAGUGAGGAAUAUUGGUCAAUGGGCGUAAGCCUGAACCAGCCAAGUAGCGUGCAGGAUGACGGCCCUAUGGGCUGUAAACUGCUUUUAUGCGGGGAUAAAGUGGCCCACGUGUGGGUUUUUGCAGGUACCGCAUGAAUAAGGACCGGCUAAUUCCGUG
rnacentral:rRNA from 1 species